UACGUAGGGGGCAAGCGUUGUCCGGAGUUACUGGGCGUAAAGGGCAUGCAGGCGGUCGGACGCGUUUGCUGUGACAGCGGAGGGCUUAACUCUCCGAGCAUAGGAAAGACGGUUUGACUUGAGAGCGCGAGAGGGACACGGAAUUCCGGGUGGAGUGGUGAAAUGCGUAGAGAUCCGGAGGAACACCGAAGGCGAAGGCAGUGUCCUGGCGCGUAUCUGACGCUGAGGUGCGAAAGCCAGGGGAGCGAACGGG
rnacentral:rRNA from 1 species